UACGGAGGGAGCUAGCGUUGUUCGGAAUUACUGGGCGUAAAGCGCACGUAGGCGGCUUUGUAAGUUAGAGGUGAAAGCCCGGGGCUCAACCCCGGAAUUGCCUUUAAGACUGCAUCGCUUGAAUCCGGGAGAGGUGAGUGGAAUUCCGAGUGUAGAGGUGAAAUUCGUAGAUAUUCGGAAGAACACCAGUGGCGAAGGCGGCUCACUGGACCGGUAUUGACGCUGAGGUGACGAAAGCGUGGGGGAGCAAAACGGG
rnacentral:rRNA from 1 species